AGUGAACGCUGGCGGUAGGCCUAACGCAUGCAAGUCGAACGGCAGCACAGUAAGAGCUUGCUCUUACGGGUGGCGAGUGGCGGACGGGUGAGGAAUACAUCGGAAUCUACUUUUUCGUGGGGGAUAACGUAGGGAAACUUACGCUAAUACCGCAUACGACCUACGGGUGAAAGCAGGGGAUCUUCGGACCUUGCGCGAUUGAAUGAGCCGAUGUCGGAUUAGCUAGUUGGCGGGGUAAAGGCCCACCAAGGCGACGAUCCGUAGCUGGUCUGAGAGGAUGAUCAGGCACACUGGAACUGAGACACGGUCCAGACUCCUACGGGAGGCAGCAGUGGGGAAUAUUGGACAAUGGGCGCAAGCCUGAUCCAGCCAUACCGCGUGGGUGAAGAAGGCCUUCGGGUUGUAAAGCCCUUUUGUUGGGAAAGAAAAGCAGCAGGUUAAUACCCCGCUGUUCUGACGGUACCCAAAGAAUAAGCACCGGCUAACUUCGUG
rnacentral:rRNA from 1 species